rnacentral:lncRNA from 1 species
CAGGGGGGAGUGGGUCAGAUGGGGUAUGUUGACUCAUCGUGGCCAUCAGUUGCUGCAUUUGGUUCGUUUUUAGAUGACACGAUGGGGAUGGAGGAGCGAGAGAGGAUACCUGUGGUGGAGGGGAUGCCCGCGCAGGAUAUACCUGAGGACGUGGAGGGGGUACCCGAGGAGGAGAGGGUACCGGAGAUGGAGGUGGAGGUGGUAUCGGAGGUGGGGGUGCCCGUGCAGGGGAUACCCGAGGUCGUCGAGGGGGCAUCGGAGGUGGAGGUGGAGGUCGUACCCGUGCAGGGGAUACCCGGGGAUGCCGAGGGGGUACCUGAGGAGGAUAGGGUACUGGAGCUGGAGGUGGUACCCGUGCACGGGAUACCCGGGGAUGUCGAGGGGGCACCGGAGGAGGAUAGGGUACCGGAGGUAGAGGUGGUACCCGAGAAGACGCCAGACUCGCCAGACUCGCCGGUCGUGGUCUUUGUGUCGGAGGAGGUGGUCCCGACAGCGGGCGAGGGGGUCGUCCCGAUGGCUGGGGAGAUGGAGAUUCCCGAGGCACAUGAGGAGCGGGUGGUCGGCAAGAGGCCAAGGGUGCCAUCACAGUACGUUCUUUCUCCCUUUACCGCGGAGGCGAAGAGGAGAAGGUUCGUCGACGGGACGCACCCGAAUUUAUUCAGGGAGGUGGACCACGCCAAGUGGAAAGCCUUUGAGACAGAGUGGAGAGCACUGCAGCCUGGGUCAGUUUUGUAUUUUAUGUAAUUACUAUAGUACGCAUACGCUGACGCUGACACAUGUAUACUUCAUAUAAUUAAAAAUUCUGUUCUUAUUUUUUCAGGGCCAGCCGCACGAUUGCUGAGAAGACGAUCUCAAAUGCUUACAAGUGGUUCCACGACAUCACCACUUCGGGGGCUUGGCUCGCCGACGAUGUAAGUGAAAUGAAAAUAUUGUUAUUUAUUAUGUACGUUCGAAAUCAAUUUUUUGAAUGAAAUUCGUAGAUUAACUCCUUUCUUUAUUGGUGUUUCUUGAUGUAGCACAUCGACUUGAGCAUGGAUUUGCUACGGGAUCGUGCUGAAAGACAUCCAAAAUCGUUCAACAUUCCUGGCAGACUCAUAUUGAACAUCGAGUUCAUCCGUGC